rnacentral:rRNA from 1 species
CCUACGUGAGGCAGCAGUGAGGAAUAUUGGUCAAUGGGCGCGAGCCUGAACCAGCCAAGUAGCGUGAAGGAUGACUGCCCUACGGGUUGUAAACUUCUUUUAUAAAGGAAUAAAGUGAGGCACGUGUGGCGUUUUGUAUGUACUUUAUGAAUAAGGAUCGGCUAACUCCGUGCCAGCAGCCGCGGUAAUACGGAGGAUCCGAGCGUUAUCCGGAUUUAUUGGGUUUAAAGGGAGCGUAGAUGGGUCGUUAAGUCAGUUGUAAAAGUUUGCGGCUCAACCGUAACAUGGCAAUUGAUACUGGCAGUCUUGAGUACAGUUGAGGUAGGCGGAAUUCGUGGUGUAGCGGUGAAAUGCUUAGAUAUCACGAAGAACUCCGAUUGCGAAGGCAGCUUACUAAACUGGCACUGACAUUGAUGCUCGAAAGUGUGGGUACCAAACAGGAUUAGAUACCCUAGUAGU